CUAACGGCCCUUUUCAGGGCCAUCAAAUGUGUGGAAAAAGGUCAAA
rfam:Aedes aegypti strain Liverpool supercont1.583 genomic scaffold, whole genome shotgun sequence.